rnacentral:lncRNA from 1 species
GGAGCUGGAACUCAGCUCGCUGACCCCAAGCAGUGUUCCCUUCUUUUCGCCAGGUUUGCAUCCAAGAGAGGGGAGGACAGGGGCAAAAGGAUGCAGGGAGGCUGCUGAUUUCCACUGAAGAGCUAAUUUCCUGUGAGACAUUAACAGUGAUUUAAGAAAAAGAUUCCUGUAACUGUAAUGUCUUACAAUAACAGAAUGCAGGAGAGCACAUAUCAAUGAAGAAAAGACAAAAUGUACUUAUCCAUGAAGCUGAGGUUAAGAAACCAGUG